ACGACGCUGGCGGCGUGCUUAACACAUGCAAGUCGAAACGGGAGGAAAAGAGAAGCUUGCUCUUUUUGAAUCUAGUGGCAAACGGGUGAGUAACACGUAAACAACCUGCCUUCAGGAUGGGGACAACAGACGGAACGACUGCUAAUACCGAAUGUGUUCCGGAGACCGCAUGAUUUCCGGAAGAAAGGAUGGCCUCUAUUUAUAAGCUAUCGCCUGAAGAGGGGUCUGCGUCUGAUUAGGCAGUUGGUGAGGUAACGGCCCACCAAACCUACGAUCAGUAGCCGGUCUGAGAGGGAUGAACGGCCACACUGGAACUGAGACACGGUCCAGACUCCUACGGGAGGCAGCAGUGGGGAAUCUUCCGCAAUGGACGAAAGUCUGACGGAGCAACGCCGCGUGAGUGAUGACGGCCUUCGGGUUGUAAAGCUCUGUGAUCGGGGACGAAUGGCUGGUAUGCUAAUACCAUAUCAGAGUGACGGUACCCGAAUAGCAAGCCACGGCUAACUACGUG
rnacentral:rRNA from 1 species